ACGGGUGAGUAAUAUAUCGGAACGUACCGAGUAAUGGGGGAUAACUAAUCGAAAGAUUAGCUAAUACCGCAUAUUCUCUGAGGAGGAAAGCAGGGGACCUUCGGGCCUUGCGUUAUUCGAGCGGCCGAUAUCUGAUUAGCUAGUUGGUGGGGUGAAGGCCUACCAAGGCGACGAUCAGUAGCGGGUCUGAGAGGAUGAUCCGCCACACUGGGACUGAGACACGGCCCAGACUCCUACGGGAGGCAACAGUGGGGAAUUUUGGACAAUGGGCGCAAGCCUGAUCCAGCCAUGCCGCGUGUCCGAAGAAGGCCUUCGGGUUGUAAAGGACUUUUGUCAGGGAAGAAAAGGACAGGGUUAAUACCUCUGUUUGAUGACGGUACCUGAAGAAUAAGCACCGGCUAACUACGUGCAAGCAGCCGCGGUAAUACGUAGGGUGCGAGCGUUAAUCGGAAUUACUGGGCGUAAAGCGAGCGCAGACGGUUACUUAAGCAGGAUGUGAAAUCCCCGGGCUCAACCUGGGAACUGCGUUCUGAACUGGGUGACUAGAGUGUGUCAGAGGGAGGUAGAAUUCCACGUGUAGCAGUGAAAUGCGUAGAGAUGUGGAGGAAUACCGAUGGCGAAGGCAGCCUCCUGGGAUAACACUGACGUUCAUGCUCGAAAGCGUGGGUAGCAAACAGGAUUAGAUACCCU
rnacentral:rRNA from 1 species